GACGAACGCUGGCGGCGUGCUUAACACAUGCAAGUCGAACGGAAAGGCCCUGCUUUUGUGGGGUGCUCGAGUGGCGAACGGGUGAGUAACACGUGAGUAACCUGCCCUUGACUUUGGGAUAACUUCAGGAAACUGGGGCUAAUACCGGAUAGGAGCUCCUGCUGCAUGGUGGGGGUUGGAAAGUUUCGGCGGUUGGGGAUGGACUCGCGGCUUAUCAGCUUGUUGGUGGGGUAGUGGCUUACCAAGGCUUUGACGGGUAGCCGGCCUGAGAGGGUGACCGGCCACAUUGGGACCGAGAUACGGCCCAGACUCCUACGGGAGGCAGCAGUGGGGAAAUUUGCACAAUGGGCGGAAGCCUGAUGCAGCAACGCCGCGUGCGGGAUGACGGCCUUCGGGUUGUAAACCGCUUUCGCCUGUGACGAAGCGUGAGUGACGGUAAUGGGUAAAGAAGCACCGGCUAACUACGUG
rnacentral:rRNA from 1 species